rnacentral:rRNA from 1 species
AGCUCCAAUAGCGUAUAUUAAAGUUGUUGCGGUUAAAACGCUCGUAGUUGGAGAUCUGUCGAAAACUGCUGGUCCGCCCUCGUGGUGUGUACAUGGUAAGUUUUUAACAUCAUCUUGGGAAACUUGUAUGCACUUCAUUGUGUGACUUGAGAUCUAGGACUUUUACUUUGAGGAAAUGAGAGUGUUUCAAGCAGGCGGAAGCCCUGAAUACGUUAGCAUGGAAUAAUAGCAUCGGACUUCAUUCUAAAGCUGUUGGUUCAUUAGAGUGAGGUAAUGGUAAACAGGGAUAGUUGGGGGGCAUUCGUAUUUAACUGUCAGAGGUGAAAUUCUUGGAUUUGUUGAAGACGAACUACUGCGAA